rnacentral:rRNA from 1 species
AUUGAACGCUGGCGGCAGGCCUAACACAUGCAAGUCGAGCGGAUGAGAAGAGCUUGCUCUUCGAUUCAGCGGCGGACGGGUGAGUAAUGCCUAGGAAUCUGCCUGGUAGUGGGGGACAACGUUUCGAAAGGAACGCUAAUACCGCAUACGUCCUACGGGAGAAAGCAGGGGACCUUCGGGCCUUGCGCUAUCAGAUGAGCCUAGGUCGGAUUAGCUAGUUGGUGAGGUAAUGGCUCACCAAGGCGACGAUCCGUAACUGGUCUGAGAGGAUGAUCAGUCACACUGGAACUGAGACACGGUCCAGNCUCCUACGGGAGGCAGCAGUGGGGAAUAUUGGACAAUGGGCGAAAGCCUGAUCCAGCCAUGCCGCGUGUGUGNAGAAGGUCUUCGGAUUGUAAAGCACUUUAAGUUGGGAGGAAGGGCAUUAACCUAAUACGUUGGUGUUUUNACGNUNCCGACAGNAUAANCACCNNCUANCUCUNUNC